AGUGAACGCUGGCGGUAGGCCUAACACAUGCAAGUCGAACGGCCGCACAGUAAGAGCUUGCUCUUACGGGUGGCGAGUGGCGGACGGGUGAGGCAUACAUCGGCAUCUACUUUUUCGUGGGGGAUAACGUGGGGAAACUUCCGCUAAUACCGCAUACGACCUACGGGUGAAAUCAGUAGAUCUUCAGACCUUUCCCGAUUGAUAUAGCCGAUGUCGGAUUAGCUAGUUGGCGUGGUAACGGCCCACCAAGGCGACGAUGCGUAGCGGAUCUGAGAGGAUGAUCGGCCACACUGGAACUGAGACACGGUCCAGACUCCUACGGGAGGCAGCAGUAGGGAAUCUUCCGCAAAGGGCGAAAGCCUGACGGAGCAACGCCGCGUGAGUGAUGAAGGUCUUCGGAUCGUAAAACUCUGUUAUUAGGGAAGAACAAAAGUGUAAGUAACUAUGCACGUCUUGACGGUACCUAAUCAGAAAGCCACGGCUAACUACGUG
rnacentral:rRNA from 1 species